rnacentral:rRNA from 1 species
GAUGAACGCUGGCGGCGUGCCUAAUACAUGCAAGUCGAGCGAACGGACGAGAAGCUUGCUUCUCUGAUGUUAGCGGCGGACGGGUGAGUAACACGUGGAUAACCUACCUAUAAGACUGGGAUAACUUCGGGAAACCGGAGCUAAUACCGGAUAAUAUUUUGAACCGCAUGGUUCAAAAGUGAAAGACGGUCUUGCUGUCACUUAUAGAUGGAUCCGCGCUGCAUUAGCUAGUUGGUAAGGUAACGGCUUACCAAGGCAACGAUGCAUAGCCGACCUGAGAGGGUGGUCGGCCACACUGGAACUUAGACACGGUCCAGACUCCUACGGGAGGCAGCAGUAGGGAAUCUUCCGCAAUGGGCGAAAGCCUGACGGAGCAACGCCGCGUGAGUGAUGAAGGUCUUCGGAUCGUAAAACUCUGUUAUUAGGGAAGAACAUAUGUGUAAGUAACUGUGCACAUCUUGACGGUACCUAAUCAGAAAGCCACGGCUAACUACGUG